AUGAUCUUGCUAACUUCUACGCGUAUUGCAGAGGAGGAGGCCGAGAGGAUCAUCGAUGGUGCCUUCUUUUUUGUGUGUGCCGGCUCGGAUGACAUAGCUAACACCUACUUCACAACACCGUUUCGGAGCGUCCAGUACGACAUCUCGUCCUACGUGGACCUCCUCCUCGUCGGUGUGGACAAGUUCCUCCGAAGCGUGAGUGCUCGCGGCGCCAAGAGGAUCGGCUUCGUGGGCCUCCCGCCCAUCGGAUGCGUACCGUCGCAACGGACGGUCGGCGGCGGGUUGCAUCGUCAUUGUGAACCCAAGCGCAACUACGCAGCACAGCUCUACAACUCAAGGGUGCAGGAGCUGAUCGAAAGGAUGAAAGAGGAGCUCAACACCCGCAUAGUCUACCUAGGGAUCUAUGACAUCAUCCAAGAGCUCGCCGAGGAUGGGGAGCGUUGGGGCUUCACUGAGACGACCCACGGGUGCUGCGGGACCGGGCUCAUCGAGGUGACGAAUCUCUGUGACUCUAGGUUCAUGGCGGUGUGCGACGACGUAUCCAAGCAUGUCUUCUUCGAUAGCUUCCAUCCCACGCAAAGGGCAUACAAGAUCAUUGUCGACAACAUCUGGGACACCUAUGGACACCUCUUGUAA
rnacentral:rRNA from 1 species